rnacentral:lncRNA from 1 species
GAGGAAACCCACUUCAUAGAAGUGGGGAAGCAGACAGAGUCAAGAACAGGGGCUGAGAAAUCAAGAUCAAGGCGUGAGCAAGUGCCAUGUCCGGUGAGAGCGACCAUCUUCCAGGAUGGCUCUUCGAAUACUGAGUCCUCAAAUGGUGGAGAAGCAGAAGGGGAGAAAAGAUCAUAUCAUGCAUGAAGCCUCUCUUCUCAGAGCCUCACUACCAUUUAUAAAGAUCCACAUGACUGAGCCAGGUUCCCACUGCAGACGUUAAUCACACAGACAUAAAUCUGAGGAGGCA